CCAACAUGGCUUGUGGGGCUCCCCAGAGGUCAGGGAGAGGCAGAUACUCUGAAGCUCCUGGUGGGGACGGUGGCCCCAUGAAGCCACAGGUUCUGCCUGCCAGGCCAGCCCCUGCUCGUCUCCCUGUUCCCGGCGGAUGGUGGCCCCUUGGCUGUGGUCAUUGGCGGUGUGGCCCGAGUGGCACUUGAAGCAUGGCAGGAAUUCAGGCCAGGGUGCCCACAGGCUGUGAGGCAGGCGCCGUGCCUGCCCCAGGGGUGUGAAGGUGGCACAUGGGGGCCAUGUGCCAUGUGUGGUGGCACAUGGGGUCAUGCAGGGCAGCCUCUGCAGGGGGUGAGCGGCAUGUGGGCCGUGUCCUAUUUCCUCUGGGUCCCUUUAUACCUGGGCUUCUUAACAGCAGCUAGUGGGAGCUACAGCUGCUGGCCUCCGUCAGCCUCCCAGGGACUGUCUCAUCUUUCAGAAGAUCCUCGCCAGGGCGGCUCACCGCCACACGGACACACGGAACGAGUCUUCUGAGAGCCACAUGGGAGCUGGGCUGCAUAAUGGGAGGCCUGGGGCGCCCUUUAGACCCCACCAGACUGGAGCCACCAUGGAGAUCUCAGCUGCCCUGGUGAGCGCCACCCAGACACGAGCACACACACGUGUGCAAAAUGUGUGCACACAUGUACACAGCACAUAUGUGUGUAUGCAAUGCAAGCCUGGCUCCAGCCACCUUUAUCCGAUACGUGAGGCAGACAGUCACGGGACACGGUGGACAUGACGCUCUGCUGUGCAGAGAAACCGCUCUGUGUGCACAGCCCAAGUUCACUGGGCGGUCACAGCUGGGUAAGGAUGGGGAACACAGCAGCCUGUGACCUCUCAGCCACUGCAGAGGCCACCUGUGUGGGUGGCCUUCAGAGGGCAGAACCCUCCCUGGGGACGCACCUGCCUCAGGCGCGGCCUGUGCAUUCCUGCCUGGAGACAGGAGCUACCAGUCCCCGGCGCUGUUUACCUUCCGUCUGGCGGCCCAGCAGAGAGCCACCGCCCUCCCCUCUCCUGGCCUAUAUAUAAGGCCUUGUCCUGGCUUUGCCCUGGGCGGGGACGCUGCUGUACUGUGCUGACCCUCUGCUCCCAGAAACCCAGGGCCACUGGCAGCUUCAGGGACAACCCUGCCUCUGAAUUGGGGCCACGGACACCCAGGUUACUCACAAAAUAGGUGCCCUUUUCCAUGCAGAUAGCUGAAGUGCAGACCCAGAGCUCGUGGGAUUGCUGGUGGAAACUUCCAGAAGCAUGCAGCAGGAUUGCCAUGGGGUUAGGAAGCCAAACAAUCAGCAGACAGGCAGGUGCAUCUCGGUAGGACCCCGCUCUGGGGAGGUCCCUGAACUGCAUCUCCUGCUGGGGUCAGGACCAGCCUGCUUCCCAGAGCGCCCCGUGUGCUCCCAUAGCAGGGCCGGGCUGGCACUCCUGGGCAGGACCGGCACUCCUGGGCCAGGCUGGCACUCCUGGGCCGGGCUGGUGUCAGCGGGCCCCAAAGACAGGCCCCAGGCCUGGGUGAACUCAGGGGCUCCAGCUGCAGCUCACCAGCCCAGGAAGUGGUUGCUGGGGGUCCUUAAGAGGCUCCAUUCUCCCGGUGGGCUCCCCUGCAUCCCCUCCGGCUGCCUCCCCCGCUGCACUAGCCUUUGCAGGUGUGUGUGUUUACCUUUAAUAACUUAACCCUUUGGCCCAGUCUCCAUCUGCCGACGCACAGCAGGCUGGCGGUCGUGCUCCCCACGUGGCAGGGCUGGUGGCCAUCACCAGCAAGUGUGGGCAGGGCUGGAGGGGGGACCAAGCAAGGGCUUCUGCCCUCAGGCACAGCAAAAGCCAGAGAGGCGGAAGGACCCCUGCCCCCACCCCACCCGCUGGGGAAGGUGAUGGUCAGGAGGGGGCUGAUCGAGGGUUGCUCAGUCACCCCAAGAUGAGGAGCAGUCGCUGGCACAGCCGCCUCGGCCCUCCUUCUCUCUUGGCAGGUAAAUAGAGGCCCAGGUGGCACCCAGACCAAGGCAGACGCCUCUGCUCAUUUUGGCCGAGCAAGGCCAAAGGCAGCCAAGGGUUGGUUUCCCUGCCCGCCCCCAGUCGAGAGUCAACAUCCCACACACGCCAAACUGCCCUUUAGUUCCUAAGACGUAAAUAUUUGCUCUUCCGUUAAGAAAAUACUCAGCGGUCCUCCUUUAAGUGCAGUGUAUACCCCGGCGCCCUUCAAAAGCAAACACUGCUGUUUCCAAACAAGGAGUGCAAGGAGAAAGCCUGCGUGGGGGCUCCUGGGGGUGCACACCGACGCUGCGGGCUCUGCCCCGACCUGCCUGAAUGUUCUCCAAGCCCAGGGCACCCAGGAAGGAAGCCGAGUUUGGCGAGAGGGAGACUGGCAGGAGCCCAGGGCCCUGAGACCGAGGCUGGGAGGAAGAUCGGGCUGCUCUCCGCCACUUGGUGUUGCACGGCCGCCCCCAGGCCCCACCCGGGGGCGGCAGGCAGGGGCUUCUGCUGGGAGUGAGCCAGUCUCCAGGCCCCCAGCCCCCACCCGACCUUGCCAGAGCAGCAGUCAGAGGGCAGAGAAAGGCAGGGACCUUCAGUUGCACAGGAAGGUCUGCAUCUGGGUCCGUUCUGCUUCUCACUGCACAUGUGGCCUUGCGCAGCCUGUCCGCCUCUCGAGAUCUCAAUAUUCUCACUUUAAACUAAGGGAACACAGCUUCCUUGCACCGCCGCUGACCUCCCUGGGCUGGACCUAAGCUGUGGCUGGUGGCUGGGGGCCCCAGCUUAUGGACUGGGGCGUUUCGUCCCAACAGUGUCUCGUGACUUCACGUCGGUAGGUUGGAAUCGGCCAUGCUGGGAGUGUUUGCACCACGGGAACUGGUGAAUGCUGUGCGUCAAAGCCAGGUCACCGCCCA
rnacentral:lncRNA from 1 species